rnacentral:lncRNA from 1 species
AUGUCUGCGUCGGAGCCUGGGAUCCAAACAGGAAGCUGUCAUUGUCAGUCUCGCCACCGCUCGCCCCCUUGCUGCCUCAGUAACACGUCGAGGUCACCUGUCGGAGGCCGAGCACCGAGGCGUCUACUUCUCACCGGUGCCGGGUCCAGCACGCAGGGACGUGGCAACAGAACAAGAAGCCCGUUUGCGCGCGUUGGAAGCACCGGUGUGACUGUGAGGUUGUCGUUGCCUCCUCGCGGACCAGCCUCACGGUGCGAAGCGGCAGACGGUCGCGGCUCCGCCCCGGCCUGGACCCGCAGCCUGCAGCCCAAGGUCACCAGCGGAGUCUCCUUUCCCACGCGGGGAGCAGCCGUCCUGUCCGCCGCCUCCUCCCUCGUCACCGCGUCCCUGAGCCAGCAUUCCGUCCGAGUGUUGUUGCACCUUCCUUCCUGGACUUGCCUGGGUCACGCACUCAUCCCCGAACAGGCACGGCGGCCUGAGGGAGACAGCGCGCUGUUAACUCAGGCCACGUAA